rnacentral:lncRNA from 1 species
AUGGUUCCAGGGAGCUAAUGAUAGGGCAAUUGAUUUUUGCUUUCAAGAACACAUUUAGGGAAAUUAAAGACAAAGUUAUUAGGAUUGCAAGGAGAAAGAAAUAGAUGACAUCAGAGGAGAUUCAUGCGUGUUUGAGUUUACUACGGGAGUAGAUGAUUUUAUCAUAUUUUGUGUUUAAACAUUUUAUACGUAAUAGUAAUUAUAUAGUUUUAG